UACGUAGGGGCCUAGCGUUGUCCGGAUUUACUGGGCGUAAAGAGCGCGCAGGCGGUCGUUCAAGUCGAGUGUGAAAGCCCCCGGCUCAACUGGGGAGGGUCAUUCGAUACUGAUCGACUUGAAGGCAGGAGAGGGAAGUGGAAUUCCCGGUGUAGUGGUGAAAUGCGUAGAGAUGUGGAGGAACACCAGUGGCGAAGGCGACUCUUUGGCCUGUAACUGACACUGAGGCGCGAAAGCGUGGGGAGCAAACAGG
rnacentral:rRNA from 1 species